rnacentral:rRNA from 1 species
GGGUGACAGGUGGUGCAUGGUUGUCGUCAGCUCGUGUCGUGAGAUGUUGGGUUAAGUCCCGCAACGAGCGCAACCCUCGACCUUAGUUGCCAGCAUUCAGUUGGGCACUCUAAGGUGACUGCCGGCUAAAAGUCGGAGGAAGGUGGGAUGACGUCAAAUCAUCAUGCCCCUUAUGACCUGGGCUACACACGUGCUACAAUGGGCGGUACAAAGGGUCGCGAACCCGCGAGGGGAGCCAAUCCCAAAAAGCCGCUCUCAGUUCGGAUUGCAGGCUGCAACUCGCCUGCAUGAAGCCGGAAUCGCUAGUAAUCGCGGAUCAGCAUGCCGCGGUGAAUACGUUCCCGGGCCUU